CCGCCGCCGCCGCCGCGGAGCCGGCUCCGGGCAGACAAAAGAAGCGAGACGCGCAACCCCCGGAGGCGGCGGCGGCGCGGUGGGGGUGGCGGCGGUGGGCGCUCCCCGCCGCACGUACACACACCAGGAUGGACCGCUGCUGGAGCAGCCGGGGCCGCGCGCGCCGGCCCGCGAGGGGCUCAGUGGACCCACUGCGCUAAUCCGGGCUGAGGGGAGUCGGGUGGGGUGGCGACCCGGGAUCCCCCGGCGCCGCGCGGGACCCGGGGAGGCGCACAGCUCACUUACCUGGUCUGCCCACCUGGUACCAGCUUUCAGGAUGACCUUGAGCCCAUGUACAGAAGAUGCAGUACCUCCAUCAACCCCCCAAUCGUUGAGAGCAGAGGCCCCUGCCCCAGCCCCACAACAGCUAUGUGCCAUGUGGGCACAUGAUUGAGAAAGAACUAUCUACUGUGUGACUUCUAUCGUGAGUGUGUAGAAAGUGUAGCUUCCACUAAUGACGAGCUCUUUGUUACAGAAGCCAGUGUUAGUUCCACACGCCUAUCAGAAGGACCCUUCUUAGCGAUGCUUACUUAAUGCCUAGCACGGUACUGGACGCUUUAAACACAUUAUCUUAUUUCAUUUUCACAACAGAACUAAGUCUAUUGUUAUCCCCACUUUUCAGAUGAGCAAACUGAGGUCCAGAAGUAAAAUGACUUGCCCAAGGUCACAGAGUAAGAGGAAAAGCAUAGAUUUAAACUGAGAACCCUACAUUUUAAACGGCUUUCUAUGGUACCCCCCCUCACCUCCCUCCUGUAGGAGCUGGCAAAGAGGCCUUAGCCCAGCAACCACUUUUAAUUAAAAAGCAAACAAAGCAAACAAACAACCCAGGAAAGGCAAGAACAUUGCAUGUUGCAGUCUACAUAUAGAACUGACCUUCCAUUUGGGUCUGGGCUGCCCUGUCGCUGGAGUGGGCUGCCAGCAAGCUCAGGGUUUGGGAACUCUUCAGAAUAAUGGCUUCACAAGUCAGAAGCAGUGAUAAGGUCAAAGCAUCUCCUUCCUGGGGGCUGCACGAAUGCCACAGAAAUCAGAGAGAGGUUGCAUCCGGGACUGCCAGGGCCACACGGCUCAUCACUGGAAGGGGCCCCUCUGCCUGUCCUUGCACGCCUCCUGGGAGGCAGGCGGCCGCUUCUGGAGGCAGUCUUUUCACAAUCGCAGACAGCUCCGGUUGGCAAGGUUCUGCUUUAUGCGGAGCCAACACAGGCCUGGCACACAGCUGUCGAAAAGCACUGAGCAAGGUCUCCCUGGGGAGGGAAGAUGCAGGCGUCGAUGCGGCUUCCACAAUCCUGGACAGGCUAGGCGGCACCUUCUGUGGACACGGUGACAGCCCGCGUGUGGCCUGCCUGCUCAGAUCUUGCUCCAGGCCACUGUCCCGCUCUGCUGCCCGGGGGGCAAGCCGAGGAGGCUUGGCUUUCUUCUCCCUCGCCUGUGCCUGCACAAGGGACCAGGCGGAGGCCUAUUCAAGGGAACGAGGCCUUUGUGAACGGGCUUCCUGCCGGCUUUCGGUGUCUGCAGGCGAAGAAGUGACUGCGAGGGCAUAAUUACCCAUUUGCGGCUGACGCACAGAUCUCCCCGUCUACCUCUGGGCCUAUAGCUGCUUCAGGUCUGUGCAGCCCUCUGGCCAACAAGUGGUGGCUCUUAAAUGGUGGCUUCGUGCCUGCUUUUCCUCCCACGCUGGGCACUGGGUUUCGGGGUGACCGAAUCAGAGUGGGGGGCCUAGGGCCCCUGUUCAUGCCUUCACUUGCAGAGACAUCCUGCAUCAGCCCCGCCACUUCCCUUCCUGUGCAUCUAUUGCCCUUGCCCACUCUCUCUGCUGUCCUGCAUGGCCUGAGAGCUGCCCUUUGUUUCUCCCCAGUGGGUCGUGCCUGAACCAAAGGGGUUCCUGACAUGUCCCUGAUGCACGAUCCUCUCCCCAGAAGACAGCGCCUCUGCCCAGUCACUUCCACAGCAGGGACGUGGCACGGGUGUCUCACCCUCAGCAGAAUCGACUUUUAGGGCCGGGUAAUUCUUUGCUGUGCGGGCUGCCCUGUGCACUGUGGGAUGUUUAGCAGCAUCCCUGGCCUUGACCCUGGAUGCCAGUAGCACCCCCAGUUGUAACCAUACCAAUGUCUCCAGCAUGGCUAAAUUCCCCCUGGGGGGGUGCAAAAUUGCCCCAUUAAGAGCCACUGAUGUAGCACAGUGAUUUCCAACCUUUUUCAACUCAUGGACCACAUAAACGAUUAAACUCUGUGGCACACCAAAAAAUAUAUAUUUUGCCAAUUUGCCCCCCCCCAAAAAACAAAAAAGGUAUGACUAAUUCAUUCAUACCAGGCAGCUAUUGUUACAUUGGCUGUUGUCAUUUUUUAUCUGACAGUCUAAGGCAAAAGAGGUCGGUGCCCUGACUACAGUCAGGUAACUGCACGUUUUCAAAAUUCUGUGGCACACCCACCGGUUAAGAACCACUGAUGUAGCAUAAAGGAUCCAGUUAGCACCGAGCGACUGAGUUUUAGACCUAGUUCUACCCCAAGCCUUGGGCGAACACCUGCCCUCUCUUGGCCCCAAUUU